rnacentral:rRNA from 1 species
UUGAACGCUGGCGGCAUGCCUUACACCUGCAGGUCGAACGGUAACGGGCCUUCGGGUGCCGACGCGUGGCGAACGGGUGAGUAAUACAUCGGAACGUGCCCGAUCGUGGGGGAUAACGAGGCGAAAGCUUUGCUAAUACCGCAUACGAUCUACGGAUGAAAGCAGGGGACCGCAAGGCCUUGCGCGGACGGAGCGGCCGAUGGCAGAUUAGGUAGUUGGUGGGAUAAAAGCUUACCAAGCCGACGAUCUGUAGCUGGUCUGAGAGGAUGAUCAGCCACACUGGGACUGAGACACGGCCCAGACUCCUACGGGAGGCAGCAGUGGGGAAUUUUGGACAAUGGGCGCAAGCCUGAUCCAGCCAUGCCGCGUGCAGGAUGAAGGCCUUCGGGUUGUAAACUGCUUUUGUACGGAACGAAAAGCCUUCUUUUAAUACAGGAGGGUCAUGACGGUACCGUAAGAAUAAGCACCGGCUAACUACGUG